rnacentral:rRNA from 1 species
CCUACGGGUGGCUGCAGUAGGGAAUCUUCGGCAAUGGACGCAAGUCUGACCGAGCAACGCCGCGUGAGUGAGGAAGGUCUUCGGAUCGUAAAGCUCUGUUGCCAGGGAAGAACGCUUGGGGGAGUCACUGCCCCCGAGGUGACGGUACCUGAGAAGAAAGCCCCGGCUAACUACGUGCCAGCAGCCGCGGUAAUACGUAGGGGGCGAGCGUUGUCCGGAAUUAUUGGGCGUAAAGCGCGCGCAGGCGGUCGGUCAAGUCUCAUGUUUAAACCCGGGGCUUAACCUUGGGACGCAUGGGAAACUGGCGGACUUGAGUGCAGGAGAGGGAAGCGGAAUUCCACGUGUAGCGGUGAAAUGCGUAGAGAUGUGGAGGAACACCAGUGGCGAAGGCGGCUUUCUGGCCUGUAACUGACGCUGAGGCGCGAAAGCGUGGGGAGCAAACAGGAUUAGAUACCCCAGUAGUC